UUGCUGGCUUUGGCAGCACAUGUAUUAAAAUUUAAACGAUACAGAGAGGAUUAGUAUGGCCUCUGUAGAAGUAUGACAGCAAAUUCAUGAAGUGUUCCAUAUUUAA
ensembl:snRNA U6 U6 spliceosomal RNA